UCCCAAAAGGAUCAUGCACAAUUUGCAGAAUAAGGGUUGAUUUUAUCCCGCUUUGCCAGGACGAGAUUUGAGUCAGGAUUAUUUUGAUAUAUUGAAAUUAACAAACUUACUCACAAUGCAUGAUUCAGCAAAAAAACUACAUUAAUAAGAUAGAUUAUAAACUGUAAACAAAAGGUUGUUCAAGCAGCAAUAAUAAUCUUCUUGAACUGCAAGAUUUUUAACAAGCAUUUAAACUUUCAUUUAGCUUAUAGUGACUUAUUUCAACCGCCUUCCAACAUGCAAACAGCCCCUAAGAUGCCUAUUCAGGAGGUAGGAAAAGUGCAAUUUGAAUAUCAAACACCUUGCACAAAGUCGAAGCUCAGCUAAAUAUUGCAAGCCAUAGCAACAGGUCAUGCCAUGAAAGUUUUUAAUGAUUUGUAUUAUUCAAAUGAUGCAGGUUUAUUAGCAUAACAUGACCAGUUGCCAUGACCAGCUUGCCAGUGCAUACUGUAUAAUAUCAAUUUUUAAUUAAAGUCAGUUUUUGUCCCAAUUAUCGUUUUAAUGGCACCUUCAAGGCUACCCUUAUCGUAGAACAACCAAACAAUUUGCUGAUUGGGAAACACAAUCUAUUUGUUGACAUUUUUGUUCAAUAUGCCAGCUUCAGAUGACAUCACCCAUUGUAAUGAUUAAGAUUGUACUCAGUCAGAACUGCAAAAAUAUAUAAUAAGAAAUUGUAAGCAAUAUAGUAUAGUAUAUAAGUAUACCCUAAAAUGUAGUGAUACAGCCAGGUGAAUAUAUGAAUGUAGGCUGGUAGGAUCAUUUCAGAGAUAUAAGCAGAUCGUACCACCUUUUACAAAAGUCAAUUGUUAUGCUAUUAUGAAUUUAUGCACCAGUCAAAGUAAUUCCCAACCCCAUAUUGAAAAUUUGUUGGUUUUGUCAUUCUGCCAAAUUACAC